UCCACAUUUCCCGAGGUGCAUCCCGUC
rnacentral:sRNA from 1 species